rnacentral:tRNA from 1 species
UCCGAAUUGGUGUAGGGGUUAACAUUUGACGCUCUCAUCUCGCAUUAUAAUACAUACCAGUCUAUGAUGCAGUGCGGUGCCGUCAAGCCCGGGGUUCGAUUCCCCGAUUCGGAG